rnacentral:rRNA from 1 species
GUGGGGAAUCUUCCGCAAUGGACGAAAGUCUGACGGAGCAACGCCGCGUGAGUGAUGACGGCCUUCGGGUUGUAAAGCUCUGUUAAUCGGGACGAAUGAUUUCUGUGUAAAUAAUGCAGAGAUUUGACGGUACCGGAAUAGAAAGCCACGGCUAACUACGUGCCAGCAGCCGCGGUAAUACGUAGGUGGCAAGCGUUGUCCGGAAUUAUUGGGCGUAAAGCGCGCGCAGGCGGUUUUGCAAGUCUGUCUUAAAAGUUCGGGGCUCAACCCCGUGAUGGGAUGGAAACUGUAGAACUAGAGUAUCGGAGAGGAAAGCGGAAUUCCUAGUGUAGCGGUGAAAUGCGUAGAUAUUAGGAAGAACACCAGUGGCGAAGGCGGCUUUCUGGACGAAAACUGACGCUGAGGCGCGAAAGCCAGGGGAGCGAACGGGAUUAGAAACCCUAGUAGUCC